GCAGCUUCUCCAUGUCUGGUUCUGACUCUGGGAACUGAUAAGAAACUGGAUCCAGAUGACCUGAGUGUUCUGGCAGGUUCGUACUGGAUCAAGAGGUCACUGAUGUUUGUUGUAUGUGUUUUGAAU